CGACACCCUCUCCUCAUCUCCCCUGCCUGUCCUUCCUAAAGAGCCAGUGUCCUUCUAUCCCAACAUUCCAGUCUUAGAAGCCAUCCCACUAUGUCUCCAUGACGCCAAUAAGAUUAUAGUCCUACAGGUGUGUGCAUGUCUUUGGUUUCUCUUGCUUAUUUCCCAUCCUCUGACUGUUUGCCUUGAGGCAUUUAAGUUGGGCCCCCGAUGAGGUUGACUUACUGGCUGGAGUGGCUGGAAUUCCUUUGUUUUGCUCUUCAGAUGCUCUCUUGCUGACCUGUGCUCCCCCUCCAGACUCCAACCAUCUGCUGCUGAUGCUGGCAUCAAACUGAGCACAUAUUUCUUCUGACCGCAUGGGCACAUGAAGUUUUUCCAGGGUCUAGGGCUGUUCAUUCCAGUGCACCUGCUGCAGCCCUCCAGCCAGUGACCUGUGUCUGACCUCAGAUGUGUAAUAGUUGGCUGCAGCCAUGUAACACUGACCAGCCCCUGUGAAGGCUGACCCCCACCACGACUGCAUGGUGGCUGUUGUGGGAGGCAGG